rnacentral:rRNA from 1 species
CACGUAGGGCGCAAGCGUUGUCCGGAAUUAUUGGGCGUAAAGAGCUCGUAGGCGGUCUGUUGCGUCCGCUGUGAAAACUCGGGGCUUAACCCCGAGCCUGCAGUGGAUACGGGCAGACUAGAGGUAGGUAGGGGAGAAUGGAAUUCCCGGUGUAGCGGUGAAAUGCGCAGAUAUCGGGAGGAACACCUGUGGCGAAAGCGGCUCACUGGACCAUAACUGACGCUGAUGCACGAAAGCUAGGGGGAGCAAACAGG